ACGACCUUACUUGAACAGGAUCUGUUCUAUAGGCUCGUACCUCUGUAUCCUUGAGUUCUAAGGAGACAGGAUUCCAAGUCUGGUUGAUGAAUCGAGGCUGUGUGAUCAGAGCGUGAUUAUUGGUCCGGUGGCUCAACUGUUGUGAGAUCACCGUGACCGCGGAGGAUCGUUCUCAGCUUGCUUUGUUCUAGCUGGGGUGGUCACGCAGCUGUCUGACAGACU